CAUUACUCAGGAUUCAAUGUGGAAAAGCUAACAACAGGAGUAGAAAUCAGGACUAUGACUUGAGUUCUGGUGCGGUAAGGGGAAAGCAGAAAGAUGUGUUUGAGAGGUUGGAGAGAAGGGUUGAGGAAAGAGAGGGAAGCCAGAUGGAGCUUGAUGUUUCAUUUAAAUCUAAUGCACUUGUGGCAAAGGCCAUUAUGACCCCGUCAAGCUCCGCCAUUGACUCAGACAGAAGUGAAGCACCUCGAUGUAAGAAGAUUAG
rnacentral:misc_RNA from 1 species